UAUUAUUUAACAUGCAUGAAAUAGAUAAUUCAAAUUGGUAUACCAUAAUUUUUAUAGUGCCGACAGAGAGAAUGCAAAAUUGAGCAUAGUUCAUGUUGAGUUAGCUACAAACAUAGGCAAUAAGAAGUUAAAGUUUUACAAAAAAUCAAUGCUGAUCAGGUUACUGUUAUUUUCUCAAAUUACUAUAAGGCACAGAAAUAUGGCAUACUGGAAACAAUGCAGACACCGCUGGCAUAAGAGAGUACGAGACUACGGAAGAUUUUAUCAUAGUAGCUGCUAAAAUUAUGUGAUGUCAUAACAUCUACUUGAUAUCAUAGCUGAUUUAAACAAGCAACACAUUCUUCAGUCAUGUACAAUUUAGUUUCAUGUUUAUCCAUGAAUUGCAUGCCUCACUAUGUUUGUUCAUGUUCAGGUGUUAAGCGUUGACUCAUAUUACCAAUAAUUUCCCCUGUGUACUGCCCCUUUCUUUAUAAUAUUCAGUUGUCCGUUUCUCUGUUAUACUUGCAAUCGUGGAACUCUUUCAUACUUGGGGUUAAGAACUAGUACCUUUCAAGGAACCAGGGGUGUUACUGGAGGAAUAGUAAGGCACUUCUGUUUCACGAUAAAGCACUAGAUCCAAGGUGGUACUACCAUGGUGCAAGGGUACCCAGCUCUUCUUUUGCAAAAGAAGAGUAAUUUGCACGGCAAGUGUUUUGGGGAGAUUUUAUCAUUCUUCACUGCACAAUGGGCCAACGAUAAGCUCCUCCGGGGACUGAGUAAAGGAUGGACUUAUUGGUCAGGUACGAGGCCUAGGCGUGAGAAAAAAUAUUCUCCGCUACUGUGGAUGCAGUAAGAAAUUUUUGCAACUAGUCCUACUCCUACCACUGAGGCUGAGCACCGAGAUAUUGGGCAUAUUGGUUGCUGAAACAGUGAACGUGAUCUCUGGCGCACACGCACAGCACAGAGGAGCAGUGACCGGGUGAACCCGGUUGCGCGCCAACCAUCCCUGGUGGCAGAUCCACGUCAGCCGCCGCUUUUUGCGAGCCGACGCAACGGCAGCGCGUCGCUUUUGCACAAAUGCAGUGGGCCCCACUUGGACAAAGCGCUUCCUCGCUUUUUUAUCAAAAAUCAAUUCUAUUUUACUCCUGGUGCUGUUCUACCCUUUCCAGAAGGUUCUUGGUUCGGGUUAUAGUCACUGUGACAUUUGAUCGAAGAAAGGGACAACGCAAUUAGUGAAAAAUAAAUCGUGUUCGAAGCCUAAAA